rnacentral:rRNA from 1 species
CCUACGGGUGGCAGCAGUGAGGAAUAUUGGUCAAUGGGCGAGAGCUUGAACCAGCCAAGUCGCGUGAGGGAGUACUGCCCUAUGGGUUGUAAACCUCUUUUGUCGGGGAGCAAAAGCCGGACGUGUCCGGCUGUGAGAGUACCCGAAGAAAAAGCAUCGGCUAACUCCGUGCCAGCAGCCGCGGUAAUACGGAGGAUGCGAGCGUUAUCCGGAUUUUUUGGGUUUAAAGGGUGCGCAGGCGGAUUUUUAAGUCAGCGGUAAAAUCGUGGGGCUCAACCCGGGCCGGCCGUUGAAACUGGGGGUCUUGAGUGGGCGAGAGGUAUGCGGAAUGCGUGGUGUAGCGGUGAAAUGCAUAGAUAUCACGCAGAACUCAGAUUGCGAAGGCAGCAUACCGACGCGCGACUGACACUGAGGCACGAAAGCGUGGGGAUCGAACAGGAUUAGAUACCCUAGUAGUC